rnacentral:misc_RNA from 1 species
AACGCACCUUGCGCUCCCUGGUAUUCCGGGGAGCAUGCCUGUUUGAGUGUCACGUGAACAUCUCCUGCCCCUUGAGGGUUUGUGAGGACUUGGAUGCUGCCGCUUUUUUGGCUCGUCUUGAAAUGCAUUAGCCUGUGCCUCUGAGCCGGACUCUGGCGUGAUAAGCAUCUACGCCGCCGCUUAGUUGUGGGCUCACAGCUGUCGGCUCACCCCUGACAUAUUAAAAUUUUAAUGCUCUGACCUCAAAUCAGGUAGGACUACCCGCUGAACUUAA